CAGAGGAAAUGGAGCUUCAGCCAGUCAGCAUGCUUAACACUGGAGACAACAGAGGACCCCCACCCAGUGAGAAAACUGUUGCAGGAAGUCAGAUGAAUCCACAGCUGAGACACAGGAAACGGUGACAAAAGAAGCAUCCUGUUGUCCAUCUGAGUGAGAGCACUACAGCAUCUGUGUUCAGAAGUUUACAUACAUUCAUUUUUGGCAUGAAUAUCUUGAUAUUUUUGUUUUUUUUUAAUGGUUUCUUUGAACUGUUUUGGGAUGUAGUCCAGAAGCCUCCAAAACCAGUUUUGAUGUGAACAGGAUCAGUGUUCUUCUGGGACACCCAAAUGUGUUUAUGUUUCAACAAUCUAGCUGUUGGUUUGAGGUGACUUCGAAGAAUUUUGAGGUAGUCCUCCUCUUUCAUUAUUCCAUCCACCUUGAAUGUACCAGUGCUACCGGCAGCAAAUGGCCCUCCAUGGAUCAGACUUGUUUAUACAGUACAUCCCACAGAUGCUCACUUGGAUUUAGAUCUGGGGAAUUUGGAUGCCAAGUCAACUUCUCAAAGUCAUUAUUGUGCUCCUUUUUAUGAUCCAGUUGUGCCCAUUGUUGGGACAGGGGUCUGUGGCUAUGUAGCCCUAUACACGACAAACUACGAUGCACUAUGUAUUCUGACAUCUUCAGAACCACCAUUAACUUUUACAGAAAUUUGCUACGUUAGCUCAUCUCUAGAAUUGGACCAAAUGGGUCAGCUUUCACUCUCCGUCUUUAUCAGUGAACUCUGGCUCCCCGUGAUGCUGGUUCACCAUUGUUCCUUUCUUGGACCACUUUUGAUAGAUACUGACCUCUGCGGACUUGGAACACCCCGCAAGAGCUUCAGAUUGCAUUUCCCCGUCAGAAGAAGCUCUAAAAUCACAUGCAUCAUCAUCCCUACCAUUUCUUUUUGCAGCAUAAAGGAGAUGACAAAACAGCCUUUUCAGUGUUGCACCCUGGCUGGCUUCAACACUUCACGUGUGGAGAAGAGGAGAUCAAGUUUCCAGUUACAUCUUGUAUAAAGG